CUGGUGCCAGCAGCCGCGGUAAUCCAGCUCAAUAGCGUAUAUUAAAGUUGUUGCAGUUAAAAAGCUCGUAGUUGAAUUUCGAGACCGGUCUACUGGUCGUGCUUUUGUACGUACUGGUUUUAUUGGUUUCUCCUUCUGACGAACUAUAAUGCCAUUAAUUUGGUGUUAUAGGGAAUCAGGACUGUUACUUUGAAAAAAUUAGAGUGUUUAAAGCAGGCUCACGCUUGAAUACAUUAGCAUGGAAUAACGGAAUAGGACGUUUGAUUUUAUUUUAGUUGGUUUCUAGGGAUCGACGUAAUGAUUAAUAGGGAUAGUUGGGGGCAUUAGUAUUCAAUUGUCAGAGGUGAAAUUCUUGGAUUUAUUGAAGACUAACUACUGCGAAAGCAUUUGCCAAGGAUGUUUUCAUUAAUCAAGAACGAAAGUUAGGGGGAUCGAAGACGAUCAGAUACCGUCGUAGUCUUAACCAUAAACUAUGCCGACUAGGGAUCGGAUGAUGUUAAUUUUUUAAUGACUCAUUCGGCGCCUUACGG
rnacentral:rRNA from 1 species